GAUGAACGCUGGCGGCGUGCCUAAUACAUGCAAGUCGAGCGAACAGACGAGGAGCUUGCUCCUCUGACGUUAGCAGCGGACGGGUGAGUAACACGUGGAUAACCUACCUAUAAGACUGGGAUAACUUCGGGAAACCGGAGCUAAUACCGGAUAAUAUAUUGAACCGCAUGGUUCAAUAGUGAAAGACGGUUUUGCUGUCACUUAUAGAUGGAUCCGCGCCGCAUUAGCUAGUUGGUAAGGUAACGGCUUACCAAGGCGACGAUGCGUAGCCGACCUGAGAGGGUGAUCGGCCACACUGGAACUGAGACACGGUCCAGACUCCUACGGGAGGCAGCAGUAGGGAAUCUUCCGCAAUGGGCGAAAGCUUGACGGAGCAACGCCGCGUGAGUGAUGAAGGUCUUCGGAUCGUAAAACUCUGUUAUUAGGGAAGAACAAAUGUGUAAGUAACUAUGCACGUCUUGACGGUACCUAAUCAGAAAGCCACGGCUAACUACGUG
rnacentral:rRNA from 1 species